rnacentral:rRNA from 1 species
UAGGGAAUCUUCGGCAAUGGACGGAAGUCUGACCGAGCAACGCCGCGUGAGUGAAGAAGGUUUUCGGAUCGUAAAGCUCUGUUGUAAGAGAAGAACGAGUGUGAGAGUGGAAAGUUCACACUGUGACGGUAUCUUACCAGAAAGGGACGGCUAACUACGUGCCAGCAGCCGCGGUAAUACGUAGGUCCCGAGCGUUGUCCGGAUUUAUUGGGCGUAAAGCGAGCGCAGGCGGUUAGAUAAGUCUGAAGUGAAAGGCAGUGGCUCAACCAUUGUAGGCUUUGGAAACUGUUUAACUUGAGUGCAGAAGGGGAGAGUGGAAUUCCAUGUGUAGCGGUGAAAUGCGUAGAUAUAUGGAGGAACACCGGUGGCGAAAGCGGCUCUCUGGCUUGUAACUGACGCUGAGGCUCGAAAGCGUGGGGAGCAAACAGGAUUAGAUACCCUGGUAGUCCACGCCGUAAACGAUGAGUGCUAGGUGUUAGACCCUUUCCGGGGUUUAGUGCCGCAGCUAACGCAUUAAGCACUCCGCCUGGGGAGUACGACCGCAAGGUUG